UUCCCAAUUCCUUAAUUUCUCUUAAUCUAUUAUUAGGCAGUCGAGUUCCAUACAUUUAUUUCAACCCUUCUUGAACCUACCCAUGUGGAAGGCAGAAGCGCUGGGACAUGACCACCCAACUCAGCUCUGAAGCAGCCCUCACACAAUGACGGGGACUGCAAAAAGGAAAUUCUUUGAUAGAAAACCUGGACAGAAACAUUUUAUUUUAUUUUUUAACUUCAGGCAGACAAAGGCAUGAAAGAAAUGUGCCCUUUUGUUGACUGAUUGACAGCUCCAAACCGAACCAGAAUUUUCAAAAGGUGGACCUGAUCUCGUAACAUUGUAAAUUCAGUAUCUAUACGGUUCAUGAAAAUUGUUUUCCCAUUGCUUCUACCUUUAUUGUCAAGCUGUCAAAAUAGCAACUUCCUACUUAAGUUAUAUUUAUGCAAGCAUAUAAAGUGCUUUUUAUUAAAUUUACUUUUGGUUGAAUUAGAUGGACUAUUUUAGAGGAAAUAAAUCAUUUGUAUAAUGGUGAAGAAAUUGACCUUAUGGGCACCUUCCUAAGAAUGAUGUUUCAUUAGUGCUGGAUCAGCUUUUGGUAUCUGCAAGACAAUCUGAGAUCUGGAGACCAAGGGCAGUAUAUUUCAUUUACAUACUCCAUCAGGCUCUCUGCCUGGGUCCUAACUCACCUCACCAAUGGGCUUACUUUUGUCUUCAUUCUUUGUUCCUGAUAUAUAUAUAGGCCAGUGCAUUUGAGACAAAACCAAUAAGAAGGCAGGAGCCAGGAGCUGUUUCUAAUCCAAGCAUCUCACAUAGGUCAAACCUUUAAAGAUGGGAAUGAAAAUGAAGCUGUCCACUCUGGUCCAUUGUCAAAGAGGUCAUUUGGCACUCAUCUCACAAAUGGGGUAGCAUAAAAGAUGGGAGGAAUGGAGUGCGAUGGGGGCAGGGGGAGGCGAUAUGCAGAAAUGACCAGGCAGAAGGUUAGGCCCUUGGUUUCUCAGUCUACAAAUCCUGGCUGUGAUUAGAUUUGGUACCGCACACUUUUCAGAGAUUGCUGGGGGAGAAAUCACCUGCCACCUGCAUUCUGCUGGUUGGAUUUGCUACUGAUGGAGAAGGUAUAGGCUUUACCCAGGACCGCAUUUUUUUUUUUUAACUGCCUUACUCACAUGUACCAAUGCCACAGGAAAUUGAUGGUAACCAAUUGUCUAUGUGCUUUUGUUAGCACCUCUUUUCUGCUGUGCUGGGCUACACAAUUACCACAGCCCUUGAGAAUGCUUAUUGUCAAUAGGAGUAAUUUCACAUCCCAUCCAUUUAGUGAAAAGAUGUGAAAAUUGAUCCAGCUUCUGCGAUAAGACUGGAACCAGGGUGCAGGCUACAAAUGCCUUGGAAAUAAAUAUAUGUCCAUCAUUGUUUUCAUUAGGUAUUGCUGUAGCCCAGCCUCCAGGGAAAUGAACUCAAGUCCAGCUGUCUUGCCGUAGAAGUUCAGAUGUACUCCCAAUCUGGUGAAGUGGGCUGUCAGUUUCAUUUAUUGUUAACUUUUUGUAGUGGUUGUCAAGUAAGGGGUUGGCAGUCUGAAGAGCACAAUUCUGUUUUAUCCACAGACAGGGGACAGUGUAAUUCGACACUGGCUGCCAAGGAGGAACUUGUCCUUCCUAUCCAGCUUAUUGUCUGGACUCUUUUUUUAUGAUUUCAAAAGUCUCUUCAAAAGGGCAACAAAAUUAGCCUUAAAUAGUAUUUCUUGGAUUGCCUUUAACAAUGGCGAUAAGGCCAAAGCUUCUAGUCUUGACAGAAGUGGUUUCAUGACAACUUGUUUUUAUCUUGCCAGAAUAAGCAAGGAACUUAAAAAUGUGUUUUCAUUAUGGCUAAAGACUGUGUUUCAGCUGAUGUCUCUUGCAAGGAAAGAACAAUCUGCAAACUCCAUUAUUAUGUCUCUCAUUCACUUUCUGCUCCUAAGGCAAAAAGAUUUUUGUGUUGUUUUCUUUUUUGUUGUUGUUGUUUUAAAGAGGCCCUCUAUUUCAAUUAGCACAAUUAACAUAUCAAGAAUUUGUGUUUCCAUAAAUUCUACAUUUCACUUCCAG
rnacentral:lncRNA from 1 species